AAUAGAUACCCGGGUAGUCCACGCCGUAAACGAUGAGUGCUAAGUGUUAGAGGGUUUCCGCCCUUUAGUGCUGCAGCUAACGCAUUAAGCACUCCGCCUGGGGAGUACGGUCGCAAGACUGAAACUCAAAGGAAUUGACGGGGGGCCCGCACAAGCGGUGGAGCAUGUGGUUUAAUUCGAAGCAACGCGAAGAACCUUACCAGGUCUUGACAUCCCACUGACCGGUAUAGAGAUAUACCUUUCCCUUCGGGGACAGUGGUGACAGGUGGUGCAUGGUUGUCGUCAGCUCGUGUCGUGAGAUGUUGGGUUAAGUCCCGCAACGAGCGCAACCCUUGAUCUUAGUUGCCAGCAUUUAGUUGGGCACUCUAAGGUGACUGCCGGUGACAACCGGAGGAAGGUGGGGAUGACGUCAAAUCAUCAUGCCCCUUAUGACCGUGGGCUACACACGUGCUACAAUGGAUGGUACAAAGGGCUGCAAGACUGCGAAGUCAAGCCAAUCCCAUAAAACCAUUCUCAGUUCGGAUUGCAGG
rnacentral:rRNA from 1 species